GGGAAUAUUGGACAAUGGACCAAGAGUCUGAUCCAGCAAUUCUGUGUGCACGAUGAAGUUUUUCGGAAUGUAAAGUGCUUUCAGUUGGGAAGAAAAAAAUGACGGUACCAACAGAAGAAGCGACGGCUAAAUACGUGCCAGCAGCCGCGGUAAUACGUAUGUCGCAAGCGUUAUCCGGAUUUAUUGGGCGUAAAGCGCGUCUAGGCGGCUAAGUAAGUCUGAUGUGAAAAUGCGGGGCUCAACUCCGUAUUGCGUUGGAAACUGCAUAGCUAGAGUACUGGAGAGGUAAGCGGAACUACAAGUGUAGAGGUGAAAUUCGUAGAUAUUUGUAGGAAUGCCGAUGGGGAAGCCAGCUUACUGGACAGAUACUGACGCUAAAGCGCGAAAGCGUGGGUAGCAAACAGGAUUAGAUACCCCGG
rnacentral:rRNA from 1 species